CCUACGGGAGGCUGCAGUGGGGAAUAUUGCACAAUGGGGGAAACCCUGAUGCAGCGACGCCGCGUGAGUGAAGAAGUAAUUCGGUAUGUAAAGCUCUAUCAGCAGGGAAGAAAAUGACGGUACCUGAGUAAGAAGCCACGGCUAACUACGUGCCAGCAGCCGCGGUAAUACGUAGGGGGCAAGCGUUAUCCGGAGUUACUGGGUGGAAAGGGAGCGUAGACGGCGGGGCAAGUCUGGGGUGAAAGGCGGGGGCUCAACCCCCGGAUUGCUCUGGAAACUGUACGGCUUGAGUGCAGGAGAGGUAAGUGGAAUUCCUGGUGUAGCGGUGAAAUGCGUAGAUAUUAGGAGGAACACCAGUGGCGAAGGCGGCUUACUGGACUGUAACUGACGUUGAGGCUCGAAAGCGUGGGGAGCAAACAGGAUUAGAUACCCUGGUAGUC
rnacentral:rRNA from 1 species